AUACGGGGGGAGCAAGCGUUGUCCGGAAUCACUGGGCGUAAAGGGCGUGUAGGCGGGUUGGUCAGUCAGAUGUGAAAGCCUGCGGCUUAACCGUAGAAAUGCAUUUGAAACUGCCGGCCUUGAGUGCGAGAGAGGGUAGUGGAAUUCCCAGUGUAGCGGUGAAUGCGUAGAUAUUGGGAAGAACACCAGUAGCGAAGGCGGCUACCUGGCUCGCAACUGACGCUAAUGCGCGAAAGCGUGGGGAGCGAACAGGAUUAGAAACCCCAGUAGUCC
rnacentral:rRNA from 1 species